UCACAAUCACCACCCAUAUAUAACCCCUCUCCCUUCAUCUCAACUCUCCUAUUUCUCUAAGAUUUCCCUAAACGCACAGUUCCCGAGAACCCUAAAUCCCCUCAAGAUGGCGGAACACUUGGCUUCAAUUUUCGGUACAGAAAAGGACAGGGUGAAUUGUCCGUUCUACUUCAAAAUCGGCGCUUGUAGACAUGGAGAUCGAUGUUCGAGGCUUCAUACGAAGCCAAGUAUUAGUCCUACGAUUCUACUUUCCAAUAUGUAUCAACGACCUGAUUCCAUUACACCUGGCGUUGAUGCUCAAGGUCAACCUAUUGAUCCUCGCAAAAUCCAGGAGCAUUUUGAGGAUUUUUAUGAAGACCUGUUUGAAGAACUGAACAAGUAUGGAGAGAUUGAGAGCCUGAAUAUUUGUGAUAAUCUGGCUGAUCACAUGGUUGGUAAUGUUUAUGUUCAGUUUAGAGAGGAAGAGCAGGCUGCAAAUGCUCUGAAGAAUCUUACUGGGAGAUUCUAUGCCGGAAGGCCCAUUAUUGUUGAUUUCUCUCCUGUGACUGAUUUUCGUGAAGCCACCUGUCGACAGUACGAGGAAAAUGUAUGCAACCGCGGUGGAUAUUGCAACUUUAUGCACCUCAAAAAGAUCAGCAGGGACUUGCGACGUCACUUGUUUGGAAGGUAUAGGAGGAGGCAUAGCAGAAGCAGGAGCCGAAGCCCUUAUAGGCAUCAUAGCUUUGAAGAGCGCUCUUACAGGAGUCAUAGUAGAAAGUAUGAUGAAAGGGAUCAUUAUAAUGAGAGUCGGAGCAGGAGGAACAGAAGUACAAGUCCUGGCCAUAGGAGGGGUAGGAGCAGGAGUCCCGGUAGCAGGAGAGACCGAAGUCCAGUUAGGGAUGGCAGUGAAGAGAGACGUGCAAGAAUAGAGCAGUGGAAUCGGGAAAAAGAACAGGCAGAACUUGCUAAUGGGGCUAAUGCAGACAGUAAUGAGAAUGGAUCUGCUCAAAACCAAGAUCAGUAUUAUAAUCAGCAAUGACAAGAGAGUGCAUAUGGAUAACUAAUGAAAAUAUCGUGCAGUGGUUUGUGUCCUUAUCCCUUAUGAUUAUUGAUGCUUUUAUUCUGUCCUAAAGUUAUUAUCCUCUAAAAGGGCCACCUGCCAUGAAGUAUAGCUUAAUGGCCAUUUUGCACUUGCAGGUGGUGCAGGUUUUCAAUUCCUUGAUAAGCAAUCUGAAAAGUUUUCAUCCUUUUUUUUGGGCAUUCUGGCUUUUGAUAUGCUUUUUUCUGUGCAUCACUCACUGCUUACCAUCGCAUCUACCCUUUUGAAACUUCCGGUUCCUGUUUCCAUUUCUGUUUGCCGUUGUUGCCCCUUAUCUUUUCUUCUGAUUGAUGGAACUUCUGUCUGAAACCUUUUGAUUUUCAGCCCUGUAAUGCCAUAUUGCCAUCUUCAUAUGUCUUCUGGAGUCAUACCUUGCCUCCUUUUCUUUCUUGACAGUCGAUGUUUAUCUCACUACUUCACUUCAUUUUUAUGUAUAUGUUUGCUUGUGAAGUUUUAGUUUGAGCGUCAGGUGAAAUUAUCAUCUCAACCAGAAAAGUUGUUUGCAUUUGAACAUAUAUUUCAAGUUAGGAAAUUACUAUUUCAAUUUGAGAUGGUGGUUUGGACAUAUAUUUCAAGUGAAUUUUUAGACUUGAAACAUAACUUCAACUACCUGCCCUAAAUGUUGUGUCAUUUCACUGUGUUUUUCAAUGUUGAAUUUUUGUUUGUGUUGAUUUUUUUUUAAAGGUUGUAACGUGUAUAGUUCUAUGACAUUUUAUUGUUUAUGAAGUGAAAUUCCUUGACAUUUUCCCAUGUAACAUUGUUCAAAUUGCACAAACUAUUGUUUGGGAGAAAUAACUCACUGAUGCAUGUAGUUUAGUUUUGUUCUUGGCUCAUAUUGCAGAACAUAUUGGUGCAAUAUCUCUCUAUAAAGUAGGAAUUGAAUUUAAAUUUGGUGAUGCAGUGACAUAAAUCUAAGGUGCAACUGUAUUUUGUCAUGAUUUUCUUGAACUUCAGAAGCUCAAUGUUUGAAAAGCUUGUCAAAUUGGUGGUAAAUUCUUUGAAUAUCAUACCACUUCCGUGUAGGGGGGGGUUUCUACCUUGAUUUGGUCUAAUAAAGAAGCAAAUGAAAACUAUCAUCAAACAAAGUCUCAUCAUUAUUUGCCUUUUAAAGCAACUUAUUAAGUGUUGUUUCCAUAAAGCAUUGUUGUGCAACCUUUUUGCUUACAGGGCUAAGGGCUUUCCAGUGGAUACCUUAUUCCAUUAUUGUUGGAUAGGAUUUAAUUAUGUAAGAAAAAUAAUAAAAGCCAACCUCACACUUCCUCAUUGGAGCAUCCAUGCAUCUUCUCUUCACAUGUCCGUACAAUCUCAGUAACACUUCCCCCAUCUUGUUCUCCAACGAGGCCACACUGACCUUGUCUUAGAUAUCUUCAUUUCUAAUGCUAUCAUUCCCAGACUGCAAUACAUCCACCGCAACAUCCUUGGUUCCACAACUUUUAUCUUUUGAACAUGAGAGUUUGUAACCACUACUUUUAGAAUUUGCUUUUUUUAAGUUUUGGUGGCAUCUUCUUAUCACAAAGUAAUCCGAACGUGAGCCUCCAUUUCAUCCAUCCUGCACCAAUACUUGAAGGCAAGGUCUGUCUUUUUGUAUUUCGAUUAUUGCAAUCUUUUGUUGUAGUUAUUGUUCCUUUUCUUGGAAUGAUUCGUCAAAUUUUCUGAAGUAUUUUGCCAUGAUUGCUUCACUUCCAUUAUAUCUGCUUUGAUAUGCUUUUUGGAAACUUCAUCUCUUCCUCCCAAGGUAGGGGUACGGUCUCCAUACACCCUACCUUUCCUAGACUCCACUUGUGGGAUUACACUGGGCAUCAUGUUGUUGUUUUAUCAGACAUUUCAGCUUCACACAUUCUUGGUCAUCAAUUUGUUCUUCUUGGUUGUCCAGCUGAAGUUUCCUUUUACCAGCGCUAGUUUUUUAGGUCUUGUAUUUUAGGGGCUUAUGUAAUGAGAGGUAGGUCUAUUGCAGACGACAACAUGCAUCAUUUAUACUUGUAUAAUCUUUUGCAAAUGCAUUGUGUGCUUGUUUGUGCAGUCAGGUUUCUUAUGACCCGAGCUCAUCCAGGUUGUGGAGCCAAGUCAGAGGAUAUAUACCAACAGGUUUGAUUUCACAGGCAUUUGCAGGGACGAGAGAAAGAACAAUGACCGGGCUGCAGUUUGAGACGACAACAUUCACUCUUUCUUAUUCCUUUCGUCUUUGUUUUUUUUUAGGGUAAUGCAACUUCGGAAUACGGUACUGCUGGUUUUGCGUUCUCCUGACUAGCUACUGUUUGCUAUUAUGUUAUGGACUUGUAUGAGAUCUAUUUAAGGUUCAGGAUGCGUAGUUUGUAACUUUUCUAGAAGUGAAUCUUGAUACUGUAUUAUUUAGGUAUUUCAUCUCUGACUUCUUGA